CUAGUGUAACUUCUAUCAGCCUUGGAUUUAUUAUAUCCUAUUCCAGAUUUGUCUCCUGUGAUAUAUCCUAUUUAACAUCCUUACAUACUUGGUCAUCUCUUCUAGUUUUGAGUUCAAGAACAAAGCUUCUGUUUUUAACUUUGAGAUGGUUUCCACAUGUUCAGCCUUUUCAUUCUCCAGCUGUAAUAUCUUCUGGCUUUCAAC
rnacentral:lncRNA from 1 species